rnacentral:lncRNA from 1 species
CGUGUGCCAAAAAUAGGCCACGGGCUCAGCCGCGCCCAAAAAUGAGCGCCCGAAGGUCGGGGCGCCAACACUCCCCAGCGGAAAAAUGGCCAAAAAACGGGUGGGCUUUAGCCUUGGCGGGGGGCGUGGGCGAAGUUCGUCCGCCGGAUUCGGAAUGGCCCCAUACUUUGCGGGCUGCCUCCGUGUGCCAAAUAUAGGCCACGGGCACAGCCGUGCCGCAAAAUGAGCGCCCGAAGGUCGGGGUAACAACACCCCCCAGCGGAAAAAUGGCCAAAAAACGGGUGGGCUAUAGCCUUGGUGGGGGGCGUGGGUGAAGUUCGUCCGCCGGACUCGGAAUGGCCCCAGAAUUUGCGGGCGGCCUCCGUGUGCCAAAAAUAGGCCACGGGCACAGCCGCGCCCAAAAAAGAGCGCAGCCAACACUCGCGAGUGGAAAAAUGGCUAAAAAAUGGGUGGGCUAUAGCCUUGGCGGGGGGCGUGGGCGAAGUUCGUCCGCCGGACUCGGAAUGGCCCCAGACUUUGCGGGCGGCCUCCGUGUGCCAAAAAUAGGCCACGGGCUCAGCCGCGCCCAAAAAUGAGUGCCCGAUGGUCGGGGCGCCAACACUCCCCAGCGGAAAAAUGACCAAAAAACGGGUGGGCUAUAGCCUUGGCGGGGGGCGUGGGUGAAGUUCGUCCGCCGGACUCGGAAUGGCCCCAUACUUUGCGGGCUGCCUACGUGUGCCAAAAAUAGGCCACGGGCACAGCCGCGCCCAAAAAUGAGCGCCCGAAGGUCGGGGUAACAACACCGCCCAGCAGAAAAAUGGCCAAAAAACGGGUGGGCUAUAGCC